AUUGAACGCUGGCGGCAUGCUUUACACAUGCAAGUCGAACGGUAACAGGCCUUCGGGCGCUGACGAGUGGCGAACGGGUGAGUAAUGCAUCGGAACGUGCCCAGUCGUGGGGGAUAACGCAGCGAAAGCUGUGCUAAUACCGCAUACGAUCUGCGGAUGAAAGCGGGGGACCUUCGGGCCUCGGGCGAUUGGAGCGGCCGAUGUCAGAUUAGGUAGUUGGUGGGGUAAAGGCUCACCAAGCCAACGAUCUGUAGCUGGUCUGAGAGGACGACCAGCCACACUGGGACUGAGACACGGCCCAGACUCCUACGGGAGGCAGCAGUGGGGAAUUUUGGACAAUGGGCGCAAGCCUGAUCCAGCAAUGCCGCGUGCAGGAAGAAGGCCUUCGGGUUGUAAACUGCUUUUGUACGGAGCGAAAAGGCUCCCUCUAAUACAGGGGGCUCAUGACGGUACCGUAAGAAUAAGCACCGGCUAACUACGUGCUAGCAGCCGCCGUAAUAC
rnacentral:rRNA from 1 species